rnacentral:rRNA from 1 species
AUAAAUAAGCGGAGGAAAAGAAACCAAACGGGAUUCCCUUAGUAACGGCGAGCGAAAAGGGACAAGUCCAGCACCAAGUCUUGACAUCUAUGGUGUUCAAGAGAUGCGGUGUUUAUGUAUCGACCCAUCGUGCAUUGUUCCAUGUUUCAAGUUCCUACGACCGGGACUUCCAGAGCGGGUGUAAGACCCAUAGAGAUGUGGAACCAGUGUAUGCUGAGCGAUGCAUUCUAGAGUCAGGUUGCUUGAGAGUGCAGCUUAAAGUCGGUGGUAAACUCCAUCCAAGACUAAAUAUUACAGCGAGACCGAUAGCAAACAAGUACCGUGAGGGAAAGUUGCAAAGCACUUUGAAGAGAGAGUUCAAAAGUACGUGAAACCACUGGGAGGCAAACAGAUGGAACCACGAAGUUGCGCCUCGGUCGAUUCAAUCAUCACUGCUGGUCAGUUGUUGACAAUCAGGAUCUYUUCGGAGGUUAAUUGUCAACAUUUGAGAGCCAAUGGUGUUGGUGCAUUUCGUGCCGAGGAUGCAAAGCCACGUUCAACUAGACAGUUGGGACGGCUGUAAGACAGAAUCCAAGAAAGGUGACCGUUACAUGCUUGCAUUUGACGGCGUUAYAGUCUUGGAUUGGAACCGUCACCAAACAUACUGGUUGAUGCAARUUCUCCAUCAUGGAGUGUUGAACCAUGUCUGCCUGUGACUAUUAGUCAKYAUGAUGUGAUGUUCUUUGCGUAUCUUUCGAUGCGAAAAGACAUUGCAAAAAUGCUGGUUAGUGGUUGCUUGCGUGACAUGGUGGAACUGUGGCGCGAGUAGGUCGGUCUCCAUCUGACCCGUCUUGAAACACGGACCAAGGAGCCUAUCAUAUACGCGAGUCGCUCGGUCUUGUUUAGGCCUGRGAGGCGUAAUGAAAGUAAAGUUACGAGGCUUCGGCUGCAGUAAUGGCUCGCCCACUUUGUUUAUUGGCAAUAUGGCGAAGCUGGAGCGUAUACGAUGGUACCCGAAAGAUGGUGAACUAUGCCUGGGCAAGACGAAGCCAGAGGAAACUCUGGUGGAGGUCUGUAGCGAUUCUGACGUGCAAAUCGAUCGUCAGACCUGGGUAUAGGGGCGAAAGACUAAUCGAACCAUCUAGUAGCUGGUUCCCUCCGAAGUUUCCCUCAGGAUAGCAGGCGUUUAUUUUGGAAGUAGUCUCAUCCGGUAAAGCUAAUGAUUAGAGGUCUUGGGGUUGAAACGACCUCAACCUAUUCUCAAACUUUAAAUGGGUGAGAUGGUUGACUUUCUUAACUAMUGAAGCCAACCAUUUGGAUACAAAUGCCUAGUGGGCCAUUUUUGGUAAGCAGAACUGGCGCUGUGGGAUGAACCAAACGUCGAGAUAAGGCAUCAAAUGCGUACGCUCAUCAGACCCCAUGAAAGGUGUUGGUUGCUAUAGACAGCAGGACGGUGGCCAUGGAAGUCGGAAUCCGCUAAGGAGUGUGUAACAACUCACCUGCCGAAGCAACUAGCCCUGAAAAUGGACGAUGCUGUAGCGUGGAGCCGAUACUCGACCGUUGUGACUAAUCWAYUAUKAGAGAAUAAGAUGUUACAACGAGUAGGAGGGCCGCAAUGUUAGCAUUGAAGGUGUCCGGCGUGAGCCGGCCUGGAGCUAUCAUUGUU